rnacentral:rRNA from 1 species
AUGUCUUCCAGAACAUAUGAUUCUGGUUGUAAAAAGCGUAAGAAGAAGCAAAAGCAAGAAGCAGAAGCGCAACGUCUAAAGGGUUCUGACAGUUUUGUCAUGAAAGAACCUCGAUUAAAUUCUGACGCCCAGACUCCCAAUGAUAAUGUUGGUGAUCGUCAUGGUGAUGAUGCUAACAUUGUAGUUAAGACAGAGGCUGGCACUGUAAAUGAAGAUGAUGAUGCUAAUAUUGCAGAUGGAGGUGAUAAUGUUAAUAUUGGUGCUGAAGGUGAUGAUGACAACAACAAUUAUUUUACGCCUGAUAUAUUUGAUCCAAGAAACUGGUAUGCACUUGAUGCUAAAAUGAUUGAUAUUUUGCUACAAAAGGGUCCUAAAAGAGACUGGUAUAUUGAGCAUGAUGAUGUAGACAAAUUCGGUAGAAGGUUUUCUGCAUUGUCAUACACUAGAGUUCUCUCAAAUGGAGAAAAAUGUGACAGAGAAUGGCUUGUAUACAGCAAAGAUCUUGGCAAAGUAUUUUGUUUCUGCUGCAAAUUAUUAAGAAAGGGGCAUGUGAGAGGUCAUUUAGCACAUGAUGGUUUCAAUGACUCGCAUCAUCUUCUCACUAGACUUAAAGAGCAUGAAACUAGUAGAGAACAUGUCACAAAUAUGGCUACAUGGUAUGACUUGCGCCUUAGGUUUCAGAAGAACCAAACAAUUGAUAAAGUUGCUCAGCGAGAACUUGAAAAAGAAAAGGAGCACAGGAGAAAAGUUUUACUCAGAAUUUUGUUCAUUGUAACAUUUCUUGCAGAACAAAUAGCAUUCCGGGGAAGUAAUUGCAAGUUGUACCAAGAGAGCAAUGGAAAUUUCUUAGGAAUGGUUCAGAUGUUGGAUGAAUUUGACCCAAUUAGGAAGGAGCAUGUUGACCGCAUCACCAAUGAUAAAUCCGAUCAUUAUCUUGGUCCUUCCAUCCAGAAUGAGUUAAUAAGUUUGCUCGCUGCUGCAAUCAAGUCAGAAAUCAUUCGAAAGGUAAAAGAAGCCAAGUACUUCUCAGUUAUACUUGACUAUACUCCUGAUGCAAGCCACCAAGAACAAAUGUAUUUGAUAAUUAGGUAUGUUGAUGCAUCUUCAGAUUUGUUUUGCAUAGAAGAGUCCUUCUUAGGCUUUUUGGAUGCGAAUGACACCACCGGACAAGGACUGUUUGAUGCUCUACAAAAGGAAUUAAAGAGUCUUGACCUUGAUGUGGACAUUGUGAGAGGACAGGGAUAUGACAAUGGGUCAAAUAUGAAAGGAAGAAACAAAGGGGUACAGAACAAAGUUUUGGAAAUAAAUCGAAGAGCUUUUUAUUCAGCUUGCGGUUGUCACAGUCUGAAUUUGGCAUUGUGUGAUAUGGCAAAGUCUUGUCGUAAAAACCGAUUUUUUGGAGUUAUUCAGUGCAUCUAUACCAUAUUUGCUAAUUCUACUAAGAGAUGGCAAAUUCUCAAAGCUAACAUACCAGGACUGACUGUAAAGUCAUUGUCAUCUACACGAUGGGAGAGUCGUAUUGAUAGUGUUCAUGCUAUAAGGUUUCAGAUACCAGAAAUCAGGGAAGCUUUACUACAAGUGGCAGAAAGUGAUAAAGAUUCAGCCAUACAAAGUGAAGCUCAAUCAUUGGCGGAAAAUGAACUUGGUGGUUUUGAUUUUUUAGUGUCAAUAAUCAUCUGGUACGAGAUAUUAUCUACUGUUAAUUUGAUCGGCAAACAGUUACAAUCAAAGGAUAUGCUUAUUGAUGUUGCAAUUGAGUCUGUGAAGGGUUUGAUUUCCUUUUUCACUAAGUAUAGAAAAACUGGCUUUUCGAAAGCAUUGGAAAGUGCAAAAAAAUUUGCAUUGGAGAGGGAAAUUCAUCCAGAGUUCCACACUAAGCGUAAAAUCAAAAGGAAAAGACAAUUUGAUGAGGGCGCAGAUGAUGCAUUUAUUGAUUCACAAUCUCCAGAGGAGUCAUUUAGGGUCAACUAUUUUCUUUGUGUUGUUGAUCAAGCCAUAACUUCACUUAACAUUAGAUUUGAACAAUAUCAGGGGUACGAAAAGGUAUUUGGUUUCCUGUUUACUUCAGAUAGGUUGCGAUCAAUUGAUGACAAGAGUUUGAUGGCUUCUUGCAUUAAUCUUGAAGAGGCACUUAAGAGCGGAGAGCACACAAAUAUUGAUGGAGCUGAAUUGUGUUGCGAGCUAAUUUUCGUACAGGAUUCACUUCAAAAAUCUAUGGGCCCUCUUGAUAUUCUGAAUUAUUUGAAGAACCGCUCCUUAAUCUAUCCUAAUGCUGUUAUUGCAUACAUAAUUUUGUUGACCAUUCCUGUGACAGUUGCAUCCGCGGAAAGGAGCUUUCCUAAACUCAAGUUGUUGAAGUCCUACUUGCGUUCUACUAUGACACAAGAAAGACUCACUGGGUUGACGACAAUAGCACCUGAAAAUGAUGUCCUGGAAAAGAUUAAGUAUGAAGAUAUGAUUGAAGAUUUCAUUUCAAGGAAUACUAGACGAAUGUUGACUUUCGGCAGGACAUGA